rnacentral:lncRNA from 1 species
GUAGGAUCAAGGGAUUAAAAGCGUGAUUAAAUAAUUGUUUAAGGGUCUGUCUAAAACGUAAUUAUGUGAACCAAAGGUUAAAAUGGUCAAUUUCCUAUACCUAAAUACCCGGCUAAAUCUCAGUAUCUAAUCAAAAACCAUAUUUGAUCAUCAAAAAUUUCGGUGAGUUUCAAACGAUUCCGACCGACGGAGAAAAAACGAUUCCGACCGUCGGAGAAAGACGAUUAACAACGGUGAACAAGCAACGACCAUCGAUUUCACUUGAGAAUGACGAAUACGGCAUUAAGAGCUAAAAGAGAAAGACGGAGCAAGAAAAGAAAUGAUCCGGUGAAGCCGGUGCACAUUAGCGGCAUAACUACAGGUUUGAUGGGUUGCUGAUGAUGAUGAUGAUUUUGAGCCCCCGAUUC